UGGGGAAUAUUGGACAAUGGGCGGAAGCCUGAUCCAGCAAUGCCGCGUGAGUGAUGAAGGCCUUAGGGUUGUAAAGCUCUUUUACCAGGGAUGAUAAUGACAGUACCGGGAGAAUAAGCUCCGGCUAACUCCGUG
rnacentral:rRNA from 1 species